rnacentral:misc_RNA from 1 species
GAUGAAGAACGCAGCGAAAUGCGAUAAGUAACGUGAAUUGCAGAAUUCAGUGAAUCAUCGAAUCUUUGAACGCACAUUGCGCCCGGCAGUAAUCUGCCGGGCAUGCCUGUCCGAGCGUCAUUUCACCCCUCGAGCCGCUUUUAGUGGAUCGGUGUUGGGGCACUACGGUAAAACGUAGGCCCUGAAAUGAAGUGGCGGUCCCGCCGCGGUGCCCCCAUGCGUAGUAACGUUUAGUCUCGCAUCGGGUCCCGGCGGAGGCCUGCCGUCAAGCCUAUUUAUUCUCAGAAUAGUUUGACCUCGGAUCAGGUAGGGUUACCCGCUGAACUUAAGCAUAUCAAUAAGCGGAGGA